GCGAGAAACCUUUGCAAUGUGCGCAAGCACGACAAGGUUAAUCCGAGUGUUUCCUGCUAAAGGAAUCUUUUGUUAGUUGUAAAACCACUGAUGAAUAAGGGGCGGGCAAGUUCUGGUGUCAGCCGCCGCGGUAAAACCAGCACCUCAAGUGGUCAGGAUGAUUAUUGGGCCUAAAGCAUCCGUAGCCUGUUCUGUAAGUUUCCGGUUAAAUCCAUUAGCUCAACUAAUGGGCUGCCGAAAAAUACUGCAGAACUAGGGAGUGGGAGAGGUAGACGGUACUCGGUAGGAAGGGGUAAAAUCCUGUCAUCCUUUGAGGACCACCAGUUGCGAAGGCGCCACACUGGAACGGAUCCGACGGUCAGGGACGAAGCCUAGGGGGCACGAACCGGAUUAGAUACCCGGGUAGUCCUAGGUGUAAACGCUGUGAACUUGGUGUC
rnacentral:rRNA from 2 species